UAUUCCAUCAAAUCGAAAGGGAAACAAGUUAAUAUUCUUGUACUAAGUGUCGGAGAUUGUCUGAUUUCUUGUCAGACAUAUGUGGUAACACAAACAAGCUCAAAUACAUCACAAGUGGUCCUGGAAAGAGUUUUCUCUUCUUUGUUACUUCAUCAGACGACCCUGGAAUCAGUUCAACUGGAGAUAGGGUUCAAAUGAAGGUAAAGAGUAGCCGUUCUUGCUACUUCCUCGGUGCAUCAUUUGUGAUCCUUGAAAAUUUGAGCGAGAUAUUCAAUUUCGCACUUAUCUGUACUCUAAACCGCAUCAGGUCUCCAAGGUGAAAAGCCUCUAGUCAAUUAGAACAAGGUAGCACAAGGGAAGUCGGCAAAAUCGAUCGGCAACUUCGGGAUAACGAUUGGCUCUAAGUGCUAGGGUGUUCGGGCUUGAUGAUAAAGCAGUAGACUUGCUAUUGGAGCUGAGCUUUCGGAUACAGCAAUGUGUCUGAUCGUUCGGACUAGUGGCUUGUCUCGCUGUGGAAUCGUUUUGCUACGGUAUGCGAUUCUUUACGGGGUCGUAUUACUUCGGACAUCGUUUAAUAGCAAACUUAGAACUCGCUGCGUCUAGGGGAAUCCGACUGUCUAAUUAAAACAGAGCUUUGCGAUUGGCCGGAAAACUUGGUGUUGACGCAAAGUGAUUUCUGCCCAGUGCUCUGAAUGUUAACGUGAAGAAAUUCAAAUAAGCGCGGGUAAACGGCGGGAGUAACUAUGACUCUCUUCUGGUAGCCAAAUGCCUCGUCAUCUAAUUAGUGACGCGCAUGAAUGGAUUAACGAGAUUCCCACUGUCCCUGUCUACUAUCUAGCGAAACCACAGCCAAGGGAACGGGCUUGGACUUCAAUGCGGGGAAAGAAGACCCUGUUGAGCUUGACUCUAAUCUGUCUUCGUAAAGAGACUUGAAAAAUGUAGCGUAGAUGGGAGUGGCAACACGUCAAUGAAACACCAUUAUUUUCAUUGUUUCUUUACUUACUUGGUUAUACAGAGAUUGGAUUUUAUAUCCAGUGUUUGAGUGACAAACAUCGAUAUUCAUAUCGGUGUGAUCUGCUUCAAGGAAAGAGACAGGUGGGGAGUUUGGCUGGGGCGGUACAUCUAUCAAAUGUUAACGUAGGUGUCCAAAAGUUGACUCAGUGCGGACAGAAACCACACAUUGAGUAAAAGGGCAUAAGUCAGCUUGAUUUAGAUUUUC
rnacentral:rRNA from 1 species